rnacentral:sRNA from 1 species
CGCGCCGCCUCUCCCUCCUCCCUCUUUCUUCGGGCAGCCUUCCCACCACCCCACUUCAGCCUCCCCCACUCUUGCCGCCUCCAUAUCAUCAAGCUCUGGUGGCGCUUGGGGGGCUUUUCGGAUCGGCAGGAUGUACCCCCAGGGAAGGCACCCGGUGAGUGGGGACUGCGGGGAGGGGGCCCCCAGUGUCCGGGAACUCAGACCCUGACGUUUCCCCCAAACCCCCCCAGACCCCGCUCCAGUCCGGCCAACCCUUCAAGUUCUCGAUCUUGGAGAUCUGCGACCGCAUCAAAGAAGAAUUCCAGUUUCUCCAGGCUCAGUACCACAGCCUCAAGCUCGAAUGUGAGAAGCUGGCCAGCGAGAAGACGGAAAUGCAGCGACAUUAUGUCAUGUAUUAUGAGAUGUCUUACGGGCUCAACAUUGAAAUGCAUAAGCAGGCGGAGAUUGUGAAGCGUCUGAGCGGUAUCUGCGCUCAGAUUAUCCCUUUCCUGACCCAGGAGCAUCAGCAGCAGGUGCUCCAGGCCGUAGAGCGUGCCAAGCAGGUCACCGUGGGGGAGCUGAACAGCCUCAUCGGGGUGAGUCUAGCCCCUGCUCCGCCAUGGGGAGACGCCCACUCCCAGGUCCCUGGCACCCACCCAGGAGGUGUUAAAGCUGGGGGUGGUGUGUGGGCCUCGGCUCCGGCGGUCCUGGGAACCCUAGGGGCACAUGCUGUGCUUAGGUCCCAUCCCCUGUGUCUACCUCUUGGGCUGGGGACCGCUGGGCUCCUGCCGC